rnacentral:rRNA from 1 species
AUGUUUGGCCGGCAUGCUGAAAAGCAAAAGCUCCUGAGCUUCUUGCUGCAGCACGACGACCCUUCUGGUGAUCAUGUACCGGCAGUUCUUCCGAUUAUAGGUGGUGCAACAACUGGUAAGAAAACUUUGAUUGCUCAUGUGUGCGGCGAUGAAAGGGUUCGUCUGCGCUUCUCCUCUAUAUUGCACUUGAAUGGAGACAACCUUUUAAGAAUACUUGACCAUGGAAGGACUAUGAAAGGGAUGAUGUUGAUCGUUAUUGAGUUUGUUUCUGAUAUAGAUGACGAUGACUGGGAAAAGUUUCACUCAUUUCUCAUAACAAUUGGAAGAGGAAGCAAGAUCAUUAUUGUAAGUAGAAUUAAAAGAUUGGCCCGGUUUGCAUCGGUGAAGCCGAUUUUCUUAAGUGCUCUAUCUCAUGAUGAGCUGAGGUACCUUUUCAAGAUAAUGGCAUUCGGAAGCGUAGACCCGACAGAACAUCCACGGCUACUUCAGCUCGCGGAUGAAUUUGCCAAGGUGUUGCAUAGUAUGCAAGCUUCACUUGUUGAAACAACUGUGUUUGCAGAUGCGUUAAGAAGGAGUCUGCAUGUUCAAUCUUGGUGUGGCAUAUUGGACAAGGGGAUAAGAUUCCUUAAAAGGAACCUCUCCAUGUAUGGUAUGCAGCCAAGAAUAGCGCUCCUAGAACAAGGCCAUCCAGUGGACAUAAGGGACGUUACUUCGCAUCCACACAGCAUGGCACCUUAUACAAUGAAUGCUUCAAUCGAGAAACCGCCAAGUGUGACUGCUGCGGAACUUCUAACAGAUCCUAGUGUUAGACCAAAAGGAGACUUCAUUCUCAUUUUAUGGGAAUCAAGGAUACCCCCGCAUGAAUCAUUUGUUUAUUUUGUUACUAGGCGUGCUCAGGAUACACAUCAUGGUAGCACCUUGCCAGGGAGGAAGCGACGAGGAGUGCCGGUCUAA